UCCUGGGUGAGCGCCAGACGCCUGGGGUCCGUUUGCCGCCUGCUGAGACUAGACAAGGACCCCGGGAGGGCGACGUUGGGGGAGAGGGCUACGGAUGGAGGUCCCGCCGCGCUUGGGCCGGGUCCGGAGCCACCAGGACGCACAGCGGGUUUCCCUCAUUCUCAGUCAGGUGGUUGAGUUAUCCAAGCCUUCAUAACCAGAGGGUCUGAGCACUUGUUGGACUGUGCUUACUGCAGCUUCUCAUUUACAAUUACCACUGCACCUGAGAGUACCAAGAGAUUCCUGAGCCAGAGAUUACGAUUUCCAACUUCCAGCUCCUCAAGGCUUUUGUAUCAUAUGUAGAAAGCUGAAAGACACUGGACGAGAAACAGGAGUGAGAAACAAUGAUGGAGAAACAGAGGGAAGAAGAGACUUGGAAUCACUCUGUCCUGGCUGUGGGUCUAUGAAAAAGAAUGUGGCCUACUGCUAAAUACAUUGAUUUUGAAGCUAGAUAGCUCUGGUUUUGGGGAGCAAGUGAUUUGAUCUCUCAGAGACUCAGCUACUUCAUCAGUAAACAGAGAUUACCAUAUCCACCAGUAAUGGCUAUAGGAGCAGUAAUAGGGAUGAUAUAGGUGAAAGCACUGAUCACUGAAUGAUUCCAAAGACAGGUGCAGAGAGGUUCAGGCAUCAGACAGGCUACCUGGAUCCAAAUCCCAGCUCCAUCAUUUACUACUUUCAUGGCCUUUACAAACCACUAAACUUCUCUCUGAGCUUCAAUUUUCCCAUCUGUAACAUGGGAACUAAUAAAAUGAAACCUUCCUAAUAAAGUUGCCAGGAAGAUUCAUUGAGACAUUGAAUGUAAAGUAUUUAACUCAAUAUAGAGCACAGGGGAGCACCAAAUAAAAUUCAGGUGUUACAUUUUUAAGCACGUGUUCACCAAGGCUCCC
rnacentral:lncRNA from 1 species